rnacentral:rRNA from 1 species
AACGAACGCUGGCGGCAGGCUUAACACAUGCAAGUCGAGCGCCCCGCCAGGGGCGCGGCAGACGGGUGAGUAACGCGUGGGAACGUACCUUUUGGUUCGGAACAACUCCGGGAAACUGGAGCUAAUACCGGAUAAGCCCUAACGGGGAAAGAUUUAUCGCCGAAAGAUCGGCCCGCGUCUGAUUAGCUAGUUGGUGAGGUAACGGCUCACCAAGGCGACGAUCAGUAGCUGGUCUGAGAGGAUGAUCAGCCACACUGGGACUGAGACACGGCCCAGACUCCUACGGGAGGCAGCAGUGGGGAAUAGUGGACAAUGGGCGCAAGCCUGAUCCAGCCAUGCCGCGUGAGUGAUGAAGGCCUUAGGGUUGUAAAGCUCUUUUGUCCGGGAAGAUAAUGACUGUACCGGAAGAAUAAGCCCCGGCUAACUUCGUG